rnacentral:lncRNA from 1 species
GUGGGGUUCUGGGGACACCUCAGUGCCCCCUGUGUCCAUAGUGGGGUUCUGGGGACACCUCAGUGCCCCCUGUGUCCAUAGUGGGGUUCUGGGGACACCUCAGUGCCCCCUGUGUCCAUAGUGGGGUUCUGGGGACACCUCAGUGCCCCCUGUGUCCAUAGUGGGGUUCUGGGGACACCUCAGUGCCCCCUGUGUCCAUAGUGGGGUUCUGGGGACACCCCACUGCCCCUCUGUGUCAUUUGUGGGGUGUGGGGUGCAGGGGACACCUCGCUGCCCCUCUGUGUCAGUUGUGGGGUGCAGGGUGUGGGUGUGAGGUCUUGGGAUCACCCCACUGCCCCUCUGUGUCCAUAGUGGGGUCCUGGGGUCACCCCACUUCCCCUCUGUGCCCGUAGGGUGAGCCAGGACAGCGGGGGAUCGGCCAGCCAGGACCGCAGGUGGGUUUUGGGGUGCAUUUGCUGUCCCCUGCUGUCCCCUGCCGGGUGGCUCUGGUGCCUUUCACACACUCUGCUUUUCCCAGGGAGACCCCGGGAGCGCCGGACCCCCCGGACCCCCUGUGAGUAGGUUUGGGAUUUUGGGGUACUCUGAGUGAUGGGGCAGCGAGUGGUGGGGUCACACCUCUCCCAGCCCCCUGUGUGCACUGUGGUGGCUUUGGGGACAGCGUUGUCCCCUCACCGGGAGGAACCAACACCCUGUCCUCCCCCCCAGGGCCCCCCCGGACCGCAGGGACCCCCGGGGAUGGCAGCAGAGAAAGGUGCCAAGGUAAGAGAGUGUCCCCCAGCCCUCGGUGUCCGCCGUGCUCCCCAUUCCUGCUGUCCUUCCUCUGCAGGGCUCUCCGGGCCCCAAAGGUGCCACGGGACCCCCUGGACCACCAGGGAGCAGCGUCACCGGGCCACCUGGCCCCCAGGGGCAGCGGGGGCUCCCCGGGUCCAGCGGGCAGCCGGUAGGUGCUGGGGGGUUGUGCCAGGGGCUGUGCCAGCGGGGGGCUGUGCCAGCGGGGGGUGUGCCAGGGUGUGGGGU